CCGCCAAAAGGAAAAAUAGAAUUUGGGUUUUAUUUUCCCUCAAACUUCUAAAACCGCCAGAGACCAAAAAAUUGAAAAAAAAAUCCAAUCUUAAUUAGGUUUAAUUCUGAAAAUCUGUAAACUUUCAUCUUCCCCAACAAUUCAUCUGUAGGCCAACUUCUGAUAAAUCGCCGUCUGAUCUUGGCGAUCUUAAUUUCAAGUGCCAUCCAAUUCGCACUUCCAAUUUCAAGUUUCAAUGAAUUCGCGCUUCCAAUCUCGUGGUUAGAGUUGGGCCUUCGUCGCAUCAGAUUAAUCAGCUUCCAGAGUUUGAAUAGUUGGAGCAAGCAAUUGUUUAAGGGUGCUGAUUUAGUUAGAGUUCUCUCCUCCGACGCCCAAAUCCCACCUCCUUCGACUUUGACGACGACAUCUCCAUCAAUGGCGUCAAGCUCAACGCGCCAACAACUCCCCUAUCUUCGACAACGGAUGUUGAUGUAGUUAGAGUUGAAGUUGAUUGUAAUUUCGUCUUCGAUCUCAUUGUUUGUGAUGUUUAUCAGAUGAUCUGCAGUUGGGUUUUUUGUUCUGCAGUUCAGUAGUGUUGGUGUUGUCUGCUUUAUAUGCUGCAGCCUGGUUCAAUUAGAAGAAGGGGGCAUACACCAAAUUAGCAAUAGCGGAGCUCUUACUAAGUUACUAUUACGGUUUCCAUGAGGAUGGUUUCAAGGUAAUCAGUAAUGCAUACAAAAGGCCAAACAGAAGGGCACAUUUUUCUUCCAUUGAGAUUUCUCUGACGGUCAUGGCUAGGAAAUUCAACCAAGAGAAGAUGAUUUGUCGCAAGUCUAGCUGGAACUUGGAAGUAGUUAAAGAAAACUGACAUGAGGCUCGGUGAAGGUUAUAUCAGGGAAAGAGAGAAAACCAGAAAGAUCAUGCUCCAUGUAUUCGAACACAAGGUAUAUACUACAAGACACUUUAGAGGUUAUUAAACCAUGUAGCUUUAUUAUAUUUGGGUGAUCAAGCUUUCGUAGAAUUGUAAUUUCUCUUGCCAUAAACCAGACGCUUUUUGGUGAUAAUUGUCGAAUCUCACCUUCGUAGAAUUGUAAUUUCUCUUGCCAUAUUCUUCUGAAUGUUUUGAGCUAAGUU